GUGGCUUUAAAUACUCCGCAACACGGACAUGCCCUAAAUAACAACCUCAAGACAGAGAAAACACUCCUAUUUAUUAACUUGAAUUUGCCAU